UGGCCAAUCACACCUCCUUCCUGUUUUAGGGUAUGGUUUAGGUGCUGUGACUCCACCCCCAGCUACAAUGGGCAUGUGACUUAGGGUGGCCAAUCACAGCUCCUUUCUGCCUUAGGGUGUGGUUUAGGCGCUGUGACUUCACCCACAGCUACUAUGGGCAUGUGAUUCAGGAUGGCCAAUCAUAGCUUCUUCCUACCUUAGGUUGGUUUAAGUGCUGUGGACUCCACCCCAAGCUACAAAGGUCAUGUGACUGAGGAUGGCCAAUCACACCUCCUUCCUGACUUAGGGUGGUUUAGAUGUUGUGACUUCACCUCCAGCUACAAUGGGCAUGUGACUCAGGAUGGCCAUUCACAGCUCCUUCCUACCUUAGAGCUUCACAGAUGUCAUGUGGCUACAUGGGAACCAAUGGGACAGAUGCGUCAUAGACUUUCACUGGCUUUUUCGAUGGAAAAACAUGCUCUCUUAUUGGAGAUUCCACGGGUCAGGAAGUCAGACAAGGCAUGGUGGGUAAUGAAUUGUCUCUAGUCUGCGGAAUCUGGGGCUUCAGCUUGGAAGACACAUGGCUAGCAGUGACUUGAAUAGUAGGGGCUCGGAGCAUCUGAAGGCUUUUUUUUCCUUUGAGAUGAAGUCUCGCUCUGUCGCCCAGGCUGGAGUGCAAUGGCAUGAUCUAGGCUCACUGCAUCGUCUGCCUCCACCUCCCAGGUUCAAGUGAUUCUCCUGCCUCAGCCUCUCAAGUAGCUGGGAUUGCAGGCGCCCACCACCAUGCCCAGCUUGGGCUUCUCACAGCAUGGCAGCUGGGUUCCAAGAGAGGAUAUCCCAAGAGGGAACAUCUAGAGAAGAUGCAUUCCAAGAGAAUGGGAAGGAAGCUGCAGAGGCUUUUCUGACUCAGCCUCAGAAAUUACACUACGUCACUUCUACUGCAUUUCAUUGGUUAUGCCUGGGUUGCUAAGACUAGCCCAGAUUCAAGGGAAAGGAAUUAGACUCCAUCUCUUUGUGGGGAAGUGACAAGGUAACGUUGUGGAAGAGAAUGAUGAAUGAGAAAUAUUAUUGCAGGCACCUUUGGAAAAUGCUAUUAACCAUGGUACCCAGGCCCUGCCAUCACACCUGGGGUAGAGACAAUACCCAAUGUUUACUGAGAAUUCACUAAGCAGCAAGCACAGAGCUCACCGGUUUGUAUGCAUGAUCUCAUUUCAUUCUCACAACUCUAUGAGGUAGCUAUCAUCUUUAUACUCCUAUAACAAGGAAGAAUAAGAAAAUGAAGAGGGUAAGUGACUUGCCCAAGGUCCCCCAGCUAGCAAAUGAAGGAGCUGAGAUUCAACCACAGGCUUGCAUGAGCCUAGAUACACUUAAUAAUGUGCUGUUUUGCCUACAACUUCCCUUUUCCUCUUCGACCCUAUCCCCUCUCUGCCUGUCCUUUAGAAGUUCUUCUGUGUUUCAAGAAAGAGCCAGCUCUUUAUUUUCACCUGAUUUCACCAAGAAGCAUGGAAUUUAAAAGCAUUGUCACUACUCUCAUAGGUAAAGCAGGGAGUACAAUCCCAAUCUGACUGAUGGGAAAACCAAGGGCCAUAGAAGGAAAGUAACUUGCUAAGGUCACACUCAAGGUCAUUGGCUCAAAUUACUAAUCGGUUUAUGGGUUGCACAUCACCCUUGAAUAGUACCUUGACUGGGCCUCCUUGUGAUAUAUGAGGGGAGGCUCGCUGCUGCCCUUUAUGCCUCACCAUGACCAGCUUUUCUCUUCUAUCCCUGGUCCUGUUCGAGGAUUCCCUCUGUCUCCAGUCGGGCUGCUCCCAUGGCUGUCAGACAUAUAAAUGAUGGGUUCCUUGGCCUCUGUUUCUUCCCGUCUCUCCCAAUCUCCUUUUCCUUUACCCCAAUCCAGCUUUGGCCUCCAGAGCUAUCUCAUCUCCUUCCCAGUGGGGGAUUAUGGCAUGUCCAGAGAGUGUCCAGCCCUGAGAACUGUUUACACUAGAGAUUAGCAUUUAUCUCUAUCCUUUCAACCUCUCUCCCCAUGCUCAGCACUGCUGUCUACAUUGAGGAUGGAGGAGCAGCCCCCAGAGAUGAGAGCCAGCCAGGCUGGGGCUACCUCCCUGGCAUCUGUAUCCCCUGAACCCUCUUUCCCACCAUCUUUGGGAUCAGUCCUCCUGUUCUUGUUCAAUCUCUGAAAAUCUUGGGGUUUCUGGAUAAAUGCCAGUGACCCCCUAAAAAUGUAAGCCUGAACCUUCUUUUUGAAGAGAAGUUUUGCUUGUGGGUAUUUGAGCCAUGUAAGCCCUUUAACCCGGAAACUAUACUAGGACUCUAUUCUACAGGAACUCUCACAUGUCUGUGCAAAGGUACAAGCAUAUUCAACAGUUUCAGUUGAAAGAAUAAAAAAUUAGGAAAAAACAUAUUUUCGUCAAUGGAAAAUAGCCUGAAUAAACUCUGCUACAUCCAUACUCUGAACUAGUAGGCAGCCAUUAAAGAAAUGAGGUUAUCUUGCAUGUUCCAAUCUGAGAAGAUGUUCCGAUUAUACAGUGUUUUCUUUAGGGCCUCAGGAGGAAACUGGUGGCACAUUUAAGCUGAGUCAUUUAAAAUGAGUUAAACAAAGGGUCUGUUUGUAAAGGUGUGAGUGAGGUUUAAAGAAACCAACAAGGGGCAGUGUAGCAACAUGAGGGAGCUGUUACCACUGUAGGGCUGAGGCGGAAGAGGAGCUGGGGUAUCUCAUUAACCAAACCCAGCCAGAAACUAGAGAGCAAGGGAGUGUAAUGCUGCAGUCCCCCCAGGGUGCAGAGCAGGGUAGAGAAAGGUAGAGAUGGAUAUACAUGGGCAGAAAGAAUUCAUCCAGCACACAAAGCUAAAUGAAGAAAAAAAAUAAAACCGUAUUUGUGGGAUAUGUCUUUUACAUAAAAACGUAAAAAGAGAAAAACCAAUCCCCUAAACUGUAUAUCUACAUGGAUAUAUGGUGCAAAGGGACAAGUGUAUUUAUUUUAAUAUUAUUUAUUGAAAGAAUGAAAAAUUAGGAAAAAAUAUAUUUGUCAAUAGAAAAUAGCCUAAACCAACACUCCAAAAUAUAAACCCAUAGAUAUAUCCAUAGAUAUAUCUGUAUGAAUAUGUAUCUAUAUGGAUAUAUCUAGGGUAUCUAUCCAUAGAGAUAUAUUUAUAGAAAAUAGAAAAUAGCCUGAACCAAUUAUCCAAACUACAUAUCCAUGGACAUAUCUAUGGAUAUAUAUCCAUCUAUCCAUAUAGAUAUAUCCAGGGAUAUAUAGUUUGGGGGUGGUUCAGGCUGUUUUCUAUUGACAAAGAUAUAUUUUGUCCUAAUUUUUCAUUCCUUCAACAAAGAACAUUAAAAUGAAUAUGCUUGUACCUUUUACAGACAUGUGAGAGUUUCUGUAGAAUAGGUUCCUAGUAUAGUUUCUGGAUUAAAGAUCUGACACAGCUUAAAUACCCACAAACUAUUUAUAUAUAGUUUGGUUGGGGGGGGGUUGCUCAUUAUAUAUAUAGAUGUAGAGAAAAGGGACUGGGUGGAUAAAGAACAAAUUGUUACUGGUGGUUACUUUGGGAAAACAGAAGGACAUGUAGAAAAAAUUUCCUACUUCUGUAUUAUCUUUUUUAAUAUUAUCUAAAUUCAUUAUGGAUAAAGUGCAUCCUCUUUUAUCUUCUGUUUCCUUCCUCCCUUCUGCUCUCAACUUGUGCCUGAACUCCCAUGUGUUCUCUUCAUAUGGGCACUUGCUCAUACCACAGGUGGCUAAAAAUAUUGAGUGGGGUGGGAGGGUCCUUCAAGGGACUUUGGGUGAGACUAGAAGGAAAGCCCAACAGCUGGGAGGGAGGCCUAAUACCCUGGACUUCUAGAAAGUCCACUUCAAUUCCAUGCUCUACAGUCAACUGGGUAGCUUGCCUUGGGCAACUGGCUUCAGUCUUCUGGUCAAAGGUAAUAAUAACAGUAUAUGUAUCUGGAUGUUUACAAAGACACUACUUGAAAAAUGCAAUUGGCGCAGUGGCUUGCCAACACAUCAUGAUGGUGCUCAUGGUGUAUCAUGAUGUUCAUUUCUAAUUUCCAGGAAAUUAGCAGUUUCUAGAAGACGUUCGUAUCCAUCCUUUUGGCUUUAAUGGAGGAAAAGAUGUCCAAAUCAGGCUGCUGCCAACACAGCACUCUCCCUUCCCUUUGUCUUUAAGUCCCCCAUGUCCCAAGCUCUCCUGAUCUCCUGCAGAUUCAAAGGCCAGCGGGCAGAGGCUCACAGUGCGGCAGGCCCUAAUUGGCCCCCUAGCUCCCACCCAUCUGAUAGGACGCAGCUGUCCAUGGGGGCAGAAGGCACAUUAGAUAAGACAGUCAAACAAAGCCUACACUUUGUAUAUUUGAUUUGUCUGACCUAAUUCCCAGGCCCCACAGGAACAGGUUCAGGGCUGGGGAUGGGGUGAAGAAGAGGGCAUGGUUUCCAUCUCUCCCCUGAGACUGUCCUGAUCUUUCCUGGAAUCUUGGCUGUUUCACUGGGAAUGCCCAUCCAAGAGCUCUGAAUCUGCAGGCCAGUGCCAUGAGUUCAGAUGCUGAUUGUGCCUCCAUGUGACAUUGUACAAGUUGAGUCACCUCUUCAAGACUCGAUUUUCUCGGUAGGUAAAAUGGGCCCAGUAAUGGCCAUCUUAGAACAUAGAUUAUGUGAGUAAGAUGUGUUUAGCAACAAGUCUGGUGGGAUCUUUGUCAUCCUGCAUCCUUUUUUUUUUUGCCAUCUAGGGAGGAAAGUUAGGAUAUUUGGCUCUCUGGGGCCUGAAUCCCUUUCAGUAGCCCUGUGAGCCCAAUUAAGCCAGGCUGACAGCUUACCGAUGUUUUCCUGCAGCCCUGUCAUUGGAUUGCCCAGGAAAGUCAGGUGUGGCCUGAUGCAGGUGGAAGUGAGGGCCAUUGUCCAGGUCCAGGGGUAUUCCUCUCUGAAAUUCAUCUGCUUCUGCCCCAAACUGAUAAAGCCAUAAGCAAUGAAACAUCAUGAGCAUGAGAGGGAUCCAUCAUGCAAGAAAAAAUAAGCACCAUUCUCAGACCUGAAACUAGAUGAAAGGAACUCAGAAAACACAAAAAAUACAUAUACUCUGUAUUUUUAGAAAUGCAUUUUGUGGGGUUAAAACAUUUUCUUUCUUACAAGCUUAAAAUGGCUUUUAAAUGAGUUCUACUUUAACAUUUUAAGAGUACCAGAAGGCUCAUAAACACACAAAUAAUACAGGUGGUACCUGCCAGCACAGGUAGAUUUAUCACCUGUAUCAAAAGAAGUUAAUAAACAAAACACUGAUCUUAGAAAGGAAUAGAAACCUAUGUAUGUUCGCACCCCCAAGUCAGAUUCCCAUGUGCUUAAAAGUCGUGCAAACAUAUUAUAUUACAGUGAGUUAUAUCUUUUUUAAAAAAAAAAAAAGCUUAUUUAUCUUAUUUAUGAAAUGUGUUUAGCCUCCAUCGACUAUAGAAUGCCAAGUGCCUGAGGGCAGAUUCACGGUUCAUUUCCUUCACCUCUAGAUCACCAGCACCUUGGACAGUGCCCGACACAAUGUAGUUACUCAAUAAAUAUUUCUUGUAUGAAAAAUAAAUCAUCUGCUUAUGGGUCUGCCGUUUUCUUUAGCAAUUAUUGUGUCCUUCUGUAUUUACUCUACCCAAGAGACUAAAGGAAGAGUGGCUCAGCUUUGAGCCUCCAGAAUCAGGGAUCGGCCACACAGCAGUGGUGUGACUUAAAGCAAGCAGUUUCACCUCUCUGAGCUUCAGGAUUUGGUUUGAGUCUUAUUGUGAAAUAGAGCAUCCAUUCUAAAGAGUAUAGCAAGUAUAAACGAGCAUUUUAAGGAGCAACGAUAAAAUGGACACCAAUGC